GGAAAGCCUGCCUGUGGGAAGAAACGGCGCCAGCAGCAGAGGAGAGACCUUCCGUGGCCGCAGGCGGCCGCGCCGGUACCCCCCACAGCUCCCGCCUCCCCGCCUGAGGAGGGCGGCAGCACCGGGCGGGCUCAGGGCGGCGGAGACCGAGCGGAAAGGGCUUUCGCGCUCCCCCAGCCCAGCAGCGCGCGGGUCGCCGCCUCGGGCGGCGGCUCCUCACGGAGGGGCGCGGGCAGGGCCGGCCGCCGGCUUGCUUUCCCGCACGCGUGGGGCCGGCCCCGCUCGGGGGAGGCGGAGAGGCGGCCGCUGACAGGAAUCGACGAAGGCGGGUGAGAGGCUCGCGCCGCUGCGCUGCCCGCAGUCUUCGGCGAGGGUUUUCAAAAGAUGUUUUCAGCUCCGAGGGUCAGCUAGGUCUCUGGGAGGUGACACAUCCAGCAUCUGGCUGGCCAGCACCCUGCUCUCCCUGAUUGUUUCCUUUCAAACUUUUUUCUACAAAAUUUCAGACAACAUCAUCAUUUUGUAUCUGUGUGCGUCUUCCCCAAUUUCCUCAUUAUUUUUCCUCUUCGUGCUGCACCCCAAGAAUUUCAUGGACAGUUUUUGCUGCAGUCAGCUCGCUGCUCCGGGGCAACAUUGUUGUGCCAAGAGAGAACCGACCUAUAAGCCUCAUUUUAUUUUGGAGCCUGGGUGAGAGUGUGCCUUGUAUUGUCUCAGUUACUCAUGACCAGAGCGGAUGGAGCAGUGAGUCACCUACCAGACAUUAUUAGAGCUGUGACAACAAGAAACCAGAUGAAACCUUUAAACUGUAUCUGCUUUCCAGACCACGGAAAUACAGCAUAUUGACUUUGCUUUGACUUAGGCGAACUGCAAAGCCUGCUCUGGAAAACAAAAGUGGUUUUUAAUCUAAGGGAUUCUGUAACCUCCGUUGAAAUGCAAGGCUGAGCUCCCUGAUGCCUGAGCACAUCUCAGAGAGCUGCACAGCACCUGGGAGUCUGCACCGUGCAUGGACUUAUCAUUGCUUUAAUGUAAAGACUGCUGAACUGUGUCCCUGGUACUACCAUCCUGCCUCUCCCAUGGUGCUAGCCUUUUUUCCUUCAGUCACAGCUGCUGGACUGUGAUUAUAAUGUUCUGUUUUGUAGUUUAUAUCUAGUACUGUUUACCCACUUCGUAGUAAGCUUUCAUCAGUGGUAUUUCAGUCUUUGGAAGGCUUUCAUUCUACAUAUUGGAGAAAGGAUCUCAACAUUGCACAUGCAUGAAGUUAAUUUAGGCAUUUUUUUAUAGGACUUGUAACACCAUGUAAGUAUCAAGAACAACUUUUUAAAUUCAGUUUCUGAUUGUUUUCUCAAUGGUGUGUGCUCAAACUGAGAUAUAAGAUAUUCCCCACAGCACUUUGAAUACACCAGUGUUUUUUGAAGUUAAUGGGAUGUUACAGUUUGAAGAAGUAUCAA